rnacentral:tRNA from 1 species
GCCUGGGUGGCUCAGUCGGUUAAGCGUCUGACUUUAGCUCAGGUCAUGAUCUCAACUGUUCAUGAGUUCGAGCCCCAUGUCGGGCU